UACGUAGGGGGCUAGCGUUAUCCGGAUUUACUGGGCGUAAAGCGCGUGUAGGUGGUUCUGUAAGUAGGGCGUGAAAGCUCCCGGCUCAACUGGGAGAGGCCGUUCUAUACUGCAGAGCUAGAGGAUGGUAGAGGGAGGUGGAAUUCCAGGUGUAGCGGUGGAAUGCGCAGAUAUCUGGAGGAACACCAGUGGCGAAGGCGGCCUCCUGGACCAUUCCUGACACUCAGACGCGAAAGCUAGGGUAGCAAACGGGAUUAGAUACCCGCGUAGUCCCU
rnacentral:rRNA from 1 species